GUUGAACGCUGGCGGCGUGCUUAACACAUGCAAGUCGAACGGAAAGGCUCCUGCUUGCAGGGGUACUCGAGUGGCGAACGGGUGAGUAACACGUGGGUGAUCUGCCCAGCACUUCGGGAUAAGCCUGGGAAACUGGGUCUAAUACCGGAUAGGACGAUGGUUUGGAUGCCAUUGUGGAAAGUUUUUUCGGUGUGGGAUGAGCUCGCGGCCUAUCAGCUUGUUGGUGGGGUAAUGGCCUACCAAGGCGUCGACGGGUAGCCGGCCUGAGAGGGUGUACGGCCACAUUGGGACUGAGAUACGGCCCAGACUCCUACGGGAGGCAGCAGUGGGGAAUAUUGCACAAUGGGCGCAAGCCUGAUGCAGCGACGCCGCGUGGGGGAUGACGGCCUUCGGGUUGUAAACUCCUUUCGCUAGGGACGAAGCGCAAGUGACGGUACCUGGAGAAGAAGCACCGGCUAACUACGUG
rnacentral:rRNA from 1 species